AUGUUAAGGACAACCUGUAAUUAAUUAUACAGGGAUGUUGUACCAGUAUGUGAGGAUAAGCUUAGUUAUGGGAGGGGAAAGAGAUGCUGCCAAAGAGAAAGUAGAAGAGCAACUGCUUACUUGAAUUGAGAAGAAACCACUAUCAUCCAUGUUUCCUGAAGGUUGCUGUUCAACAAAGAAUGCAAAGGAAAGAAGAUUAAUUUAUGUGCUACAGAAACUUUUGGAAAAUCAUAGGUAGAGAAUAAAUUCAGUUAAUCUUAGUAAAUCUUAAACUUUAUUCACACUAAAAAUACUUUUAAUGAACCAUUCUGAAGGCAUGAGAACAAAGGUAACAUUCUUGGAUUUACAGGUUAUGUCAAUGAGAAACAGCAGAUAAAUUAUGCAACACCAAGCAAAUACAAGAAUCUAGUGAUUACUUUGGUAGCCUUUUUCAUUUUGCUCUUUGUAUUUAAAAGCAGCAUGGGACAAAAUAAAUUCUGUAUCUGAAGUU